GCCAGCGUAGCUCAACGGCAGAGCACGGCUUUUGUAAAGCUGAGGUUGUCGGUUCGAAUCCGACCGCUGGCU
rnacentral:tRNA from 1 species